AUCACCACUUAACAGUCUCCUUUGCGAAGCAUGAAAACUGGAAAAAGACCUCUCUCUCCACGUACUAAAGUUGGGACAGGAGUGAAAAUACUGGCACUGUACAGAAGCCUGGGGAAGAGUCCAAGAAAACAAUUUUCAUAGGCAUUUGCACGCUGACCCAGGAGUUCAUGCAGCACGAAGACCUUGUUAUUCUUUUCCAAGAAGAAUUACUUCCCUCUUGGAAACCCAGGGGAGGCACAGAGUGGCAGGUCCCUUUCAACCCAAUGUACUGGGCCAUCUGCCAUCGGGGCCAUUCAAACCCUGAGAGGCACCCCUAAUCGGUAAGCAGCAGAUGCAAUAUACAGCACUCAGAAAGCUAAGACACAGAAAAUACGGAAGGGGGAACGAACAUUCUCGAGGAGCUUUCUGCCAAAAAGACAAGGACAGAGAAGUAAGGGUACCUUUUGAAUUCUUCCAUCAAUAUCCAAAUAAAUUGCCUUGGGCCGGUAGGACCAGAGAUCUUUUCUGCUUCUCCUUACCCUUCACAUCGGUGACCAGGUCAAGAUAAGCGACCCUUCAGAAAUCCACUUAGGAGAAGAUGAUAUGCUCAACAUUGGGUUGAAACUUGGGUCAAAGCUGACUUGGUUGAUGAUUAGAGGAUUUGUUGAAGACUAAGAGAGGGAUAUGUCUCCUGCCAGCAACGUACUGUUUCAUUGCCAUUGCCUCAAGCCCUGAUGAAUUGUGUUUUCCCAAUUUUCAGGGGACCCCAGUGACUAGUAUCCAAGUUCCAUUUACCUACUUAACAUCAGAUUAUCUUUUUCAAAGGGAUUUUUACUUUAACAAUAUAGCAAGAACAAGCACAAACAUUUUCUCCCAGCAUCUUGAUCUCUUGGGAAGGGAGGGAGACUAAGCUUAAAGUUUAACUCAGUUCCUACAUAGCAUAAAUCCCACCAACUUCAAGACCAAAACCACACUGGGCUAUCAUCCUGGACCCUUGCUCCUCAGGGCUUCAUCCCGGAUCCUGGUGCUCCUAUAUCCCCAUGGCUCUGUCUCUUAGGUCAGAGACUCUACUUCAUAUAGCUCAAAGAAUGGAUAAAAAAAGCCAAAACCCCAGGCUCAUUUCUUGGGGUCAAGGUACCAUAGGAUGGUAGAGGUGAUGGUGGUGCGGAGGAGGAGAGGUGACCAUCACAUUCAGACAAGAAUGCAGAAAAAGUGCAGACUGUACUCAUUUUAAAAGGUGCAGACAAUUCUGGCUACAUAGCCCAUGAAAAAAGUCUGCUACUAACCAUGUGGUAAGCCAAAGCAGAAUGUCUAAAUAAAUGCCAAUUCUUUUGUCUCCCAGAAGCAAACCCCUAUGUAUCUUCCACAUGGGUGACACCAUUUUAGGUGGUACUUAGAACCAGUUUCCUGUUUUAAACAUUGGUACUUUAAGGAAGGAAUUUGCUGCUUUAGAUAAAGUUAGGGCAAACUGGAAACAGCAUGGACUUAGGGGGAAAAUUAUGGACAUGUUGAGUUUAAAAGGUCCCCAGGGACAUCCAAUUAAAUAUCCAGUGGACAAGUGGUGUCAUAAGACUGAAGUUCAAGGGAGAGAUUGGGUAUGGAUAUAUAAAUCUUGGAGUCAUUUGCAUAUAGAUGAUAGCUAACUCUGUGGGAACAUGUGUGUUAUGUUCUUUCAUUUUUGUAUCUUGUGUGCCUAAUUUGUUCCACUGAACAACUUUUCCUUGUUUUGACUAGUACUAUGGUUUUGGUGAUUGUAGUAUAGUUUAAUAUCUAAUACUGUUAAGCUUCAUUCUUUCCAUUUUUUUGGUGAUUUCUCUUGUGUUCUUCCUGGUGAAUUUUGUUAAGCAUCCUUUUGUAAGCCUGCUUGG